CUAACAGAUUUACUUCGGUAAUGACGUUAGGAAAGCGAGCGGCGGAUGGGUGAGUAACACGGUGGGGAAUCUGCCCCAUAGUCUGGGAUACCACUUGGAAACAGGUGCUAAUACCGGAUAAGAAAGCAGAUCGCAUGAUCAGCUUUUAAAAAGGCGGCGUAAGCUGUCGCUAUGGGAUCGGCCCGCGGUGCAUUAGCUAGUUGGUAAGGUAAAGGCUUACCAAGGCGAUGAUGCAUAGCCCGAGUUGAGAGACUGAUCGGGCCACAUUGGGGACUGAGACACGGGGCCCAAACUCCUACGGGGGGAGGGGCAGCAGUAGGGGGAAUCUCCACAAUGGACGCAAGUCUGAUGGAGCAACGCCGCGUGAGUGAAGUAAGGUUUUCGGAUCGUAAAGCUCUGUUGUUGGUGAAGAAGGAUAGAGGUAGUAACUGGCCUUUAUUUGGACGGUAAUCAACCAGAAAGUCACGGCUAACUACGUGCCAGCAGCCGCGGUAAUGUCGAGCGAGUCUGCCUUGAAGAUCGGAGUGCUUGCACUCUGUGAAACAAGAUACAGGCUAGCGGCGGACGGGUGAGUAACACGUGGGUAACCUGCCCAAGAGAUCGGGAUAACACCUGGAAACAGAUGCUAAUACCGGAUAACAACAGAUGAUGCCUAUCAACUGUUUAAAAGAUGGUUCUGCUAUCACUCUUGGGAUGGACCUGCGGUGCAUUAGCUAGUUGGGUAGGGGUAACGGGCCUACCAAGGCGAUGAUGCAUAGCCGAGUUGAGAGACUGAUCGGCCACAUUGGGACUGAGACACGGCCCAAACUCCUACGGGAGGCAGCAGUAGGGGAAUCUUCCACAAUGGACGCAAGUCUGAUGGAGCAAACGCCGCGUGAGUGAAAAAGGGUUUCGGCUCGUAAAGCUCUGUUGUUGGUGAAGAAGGACAGGGGGUAGUAACUGACCUUUGUUUGACGGUAAUCAAUUAGAAAGUCACGGGCUAACUACGUGCCAGCAGCCGCGGUAAAU
rnacentral:rRNA from 1 species